GACGAACGCUGGCGGCGUGCUUAACACAUGCAAGUCGAACGGUAAGGCCCUUCGGGGUACACGAGUGGCGAACGGGUGAGUAACACGUGGGUGAUCUGCCCUGCACUUCGGGAUAAGCCUGGGAAACUGGGUCUAAUACCGGAUAGGACCACUGCCUGCAUGGGUGGGGGUGGAAAGCUUUUGCGGUGUGGGAUGGGCCCGCGGCCUAUCAGCUUGUGGGUGGGGUGAUGGGCUACCAAGGCGAGGACGGGUAGCCGGCCUGAGAGGGUGACCGGCCACACUAGGACUGAGAUACGGCCCAGACUCCUACGGGAGGCAGCAGUGGGGAAUAUUGCACAAUGGGCGCAAGCAUGAUGCAGCGACGCCGCGUGAGGGAUGACGGCCUUCGGGUUGUAAACCGCUUUCAGCACCGACGAAGCGCAAGUGACGGUAGGUGCAGAAGAAGGACCGGCCAACUACGUGCCAGCAGCAGCCGCAG
rnacentral:rRNA from 1 species